GCAGUUGUUAUCUCAGUGGUAGAGUGCAUGCUCUGUGUGUAUGAUGUUCUGGGUUCAAAUCCCAGCUGCC
rnacentral:tRNA from 1 species